GCUGUUCAUCCACUGCGUCCUUUGCAAAGACCUCACUAGUUUUCUAGGUUUGUUUGGAGCUGCUUUAAGUUAAAGACCUCCCCGUCAAUCCGCAGUAGUACUGGACCCGCUCUUUCUCGUCAAAGCAAACUUUUCGAGCUCACCUGUGAAUGGCUCAAGUGAUGGCAAGGCUUGCUCUGGAGGGUCAGAAGAUCCAGGAGACAGCAGCCAAAUGGAGGGAGCUGAAGAAGCAGGCCAAGUGAAAGUGGCUGAUGGAGUGGUGGGAACAGCCCAGGCUGACAGCGCUGGGACAGUUCCCGGGCACGGCAUGAGGCAUUGAGGGGAAAGGAUUAUUACUCACCUCCUGGAUUACUGUUGCUGCUCUUCGGUGCCUUCCCAUGCUCACCUGCCUGUUCACCCAUCACCAGCUGCCUCAUAGGUUCAAGGUUUUCUGGCAUCCUCCCCUUCCCCACUAGCUUGGAUCUCAAAUAAGGUUUUCUCGUGAAAAUCCUCUGGAUAAUAUUACUGUUACGACCCGGCUCAAAGCCGCAACAUAAAAAAAGAGACGAAUAUCAGAGGUAAUUGUUACGUCCCUGCAGAGGGACGUAACAAUUACCUAACUCAUCUCCUGGAUUCUCUGCCCAGUCUAACUUGUAAUCUCCUCUCACAGAUCUUGCCUGGUCUCUCGCUACCGUCCUCUGCUCCUCAUGCCUGUCUCUCUCCAUUUUAAUUGGAUUCAGUUGAGCUCAGCCUUAUGUUUAAGUAAAAUUUGUUUCUAUGUUUACGUUUCUUUGAAGUAAGUAGAGCUCACCUAAGUUAAUUCAUGUUCUCGAAGUGAAUGAAGAAUCUCAAACUGCUCUCUGUCUUGCUUGCGUCUGGCACUUGAGUCCUACACUCGCUGUUUGCUCAAACUUGACUAUAUAAUCUAUCCAUCUGUCAGCAGACCUGGUCAGAACAGCAUUGCAUAAGCAGGGGUGUCUUUUAAGAGAACACACAGCUGCCCUGCAAUUCGUUGAAACCCAAGAUGUGCUCAUGACUCAGAGGCUCGACUGUGUCGCUCAGGUAGUUGAAUCGAUUAAGUCAAAAUUAUCCACUGUCCUCUCCCCUGCUGCAGCCCCUGCCUCUCCCGCCAAAGCUUAGAGGGGCGGUGCCGGCUGCCCUGACUUUUAUGGGGGCUGCUUUCUGUGAUGCUGUGUCCCCUACGUCGAAAGCAUUUUCAGGAGAGGACUGUUGUUGCGGAGGGUUUCUGCUUUGAUAUGGGGAGAAGCUUAUUUACUGUCUCAGCCAAUUCCUGUGUAUUCCUACGAAUUGUUUAUUAAGGCGCUUAAGGGGACUUUUGUUGCCGAACAUGCCAGUUGAGGUUGGCCAGCUUAUGUGCUUCAUGGUGUGUUUUUGAACUGUCAAAAUGAUCAAAUGAAAAACCAACUAGUGUCAAGGGAUGAGCCCUCUUUCUUUGGAGAUCUCAUCUGCCUUGGUUAAUCUGCUAAGAUAAG